GCUGCCGCAGGCUUGCAACCACUCACGGCUGUCGUUGUUUUCCUCCCAGCCAUUGACGGCCACCGCACCGCGCCACCACUCACGAGCUCACGCGACGCUGCCGUUGUUUCCUUUCCCCCAGCCAUUUGACGCUGCGUCGCUGCCGUUGAACGUUUCCUCCCAGCCACUGACGCCACCACAACACGCUACGCGACGCCACGCACCACGCCACGCUACGCGAGGGAGAUUGAGAUCAGAAGAGGAGGCGCGCGCGGUUCCCAGAGCGGCGGUUCUCACGCAGAGCAAGGAGGCGCGCCACCACGAACAGAUAGGAUGAAAGAAUCAAGAACAAAGAAACAGCCUGAAGGUGAUUCUGAGAUUUCAGCAUGGGUUAGUAAAAGCCGCAAGUUAGAAAA